AGAAUGUCUAAAUAAAGAUAAAUACAGAAGGGCUAAAACUAUAAGAGAGAGUGGAAAGGGACUCCUCGGUCUGUGGACGUGGUAGAUAUACCUUGAAGUCUCUGGAGGAUCACCUCGCCUCAAGGGUAGUAGGACUGAGUCGAAGUACCUAGAUCUGCACAUGAAAAACAUGCGCAGAAAAGGCAUGAGCACACCACAACGUUACUCAGUAAGUGCCAGGCCUAACCUCGGUUGAGUAGUGACGAGGAAUGUCAAGGCCCUACUGAUUAUAGAUGAAAAACGAGGUGAAACAAUAUAGAAUACAACAAUAUAAUUAAAUGCUAACUAUAUGAAUUAACACAGGAUACUAAGAAUAACAAUGACUAUAACGGAGACAAAAUAAUCACAGAAGGAAUACAGCUCAACUCAGACAUAACAACCGGGGAUCUCUCAGUAUCCCUAGGAUCUCUUAGUAUCCUCAAUAUGUGUGUUGGGGAUCUCUCGGUAUCCCGAGGAUCUCUUAGUAUCCUCAAUAUAUGUGCUGGGGAUCUCUCGGUAUCCCGAGGAUCUCUUAGUAUCCUCAAUAUACGUGUUGGAGAUCUCUCGGUAUCCCGCACUACAGUCCAAAUCAAUAUAUAUGUGCAAAGGAUCUCCCGGAAUACAAAUCCGUAGUCCCAAAGUAAAUAGGCAGGGGGAUCUCUCGAGAUACCGUCCCGUAGUCCCAAAGUAAACACACACAACAACACAAAGAAUACUCAAUUCAAUUCAAAUUCCAUACCAAGGCAAAACAGGUAUUUCUAACCUAGCAUGCUGCACAUAAUCCAAAUAAGGCAGUUUGAGCAAGUAAAGUAAUUAAGUCAAUUAGACAUGCUUCCCUAAGCUAACAGCAGGCUUAAAUUGCAAGUAAUACAAAGAGGAACAGAAACACAAUUAUAGAUACUUAACGAAAACACGAUUUUUCAACAAUUAGCACAGGUACGCACUCGUCACCUCACGUACAAGGUAUUUCAAAUAUCAACAAUACCAAAUCCUAAGGGAAGUUCCCCCCCCCCCCCACAAGGUUAGGCAAGCCAUUUACCUCGAAUCGGCCCAAAAUCAACCCGAAACCACGUUCUUGCCACGAGUACUCGACUCCAAAUGGCCCAAAUCUAUUCAAAUCAAUUGCAUAAUGUAAAUAUAACUUCAAGUAACUGAUUCCACUAAUUAAUUCUAAGCUAAUACGCGAAAUUAGGAAAAAUAACCAAAACGCCCCCGGGCCCACGUCUCGGAAUCGGGUAAAAUUUACAAAUUCGGGAUCUUUACACUCUCACGAGUUCAUAUAUACAGAAAUUACUCCAAUUCGACAUCAAAAUCCUGAUCAAAACUCCAAAAUUAGGUCUAAGAACUUUUCUAUUUUUUUUCUCCAAUUUUUUCACCCCAAAUUCGAAUUUAAAAGAGGAAUUUAAGCAUAGAUUCAUGAAAAUUAAUCAAAACGGAGUAAGAAUUACUUACCCAAAAUACCCAGGUGAAAAUCUCUCUCAAAAUCGCCAAUCAUGAGUUCCCAAAUCAAUUUCUAAGGUUUUGAAACUAAACCCUCGAUUCUGUCCCUUUUCUGACCAGUGAAACCGCAUCUGCGACUCUGGGACUGCACCUGCGGUCCCACUUCCACGAAGACCAAGUCACACCUGCGAUUUUUCAUUAAACGGGGCUUUCCUCUUCUGCGACUACCUUCCCACACCUGCGGUCUCACAGGUGAGUUCCACUUCUCGCACCUGCGACUUCUGGAGCCUAGACCAAAUUCCGCUUCUACGGUCACUUAGCCGCUUCUGUGUCGCUGCACCUACGGUCCCACACACGUAGGUGCGGUUAUGACAGGUUCAACAAUCAGAUUUUGCCUACUGUCCCACCUCCUUUUUACCAUCCCCGGAAGGGGGGUAUAAGGGAGUUUUUUUCAAUUUAAGUGACAAUCGAAAUGAGAUUAUUUAUAUUAAAUUCAGAGUCGCCACUUGGGAUAAUUUAUGAUGUCCCAAGUCACCGGUUUAAAAUCCCGAAUCGAGGAAAGUUGACUCUUAUUUAUGGUCUGCGAACACAAAAAUCCGGGUAAGGAAUUCUGUUAACCCGGGAGAAGGUGUUAGGCAUUCCCGGGUUCCAUGGUUUUAGCACGGUCGCUUUGAUCAUACUUGGCUUAUUCAAAUUGUCUAAUUACUCAUUUUAGAACCUAUGUGCAUUUGCCUCUUUUAAUUAAGGAAUUAUCUUGAAAACGAGCCACGCGUACGUGUACUCAUAUGUUUGGUGCGUCAAGAAUCAUGUCACGCGUACGUGUCCAAAAUUCCUAACACUUAGUUAUUAUUAAGAAAAGUUUGGUCGAAGUUGCGCGAAUGCAUACCCUAAUUUUGUUUUUAAGGUCGUAAUUAUGUCACGCCACGUGUACACAAUCACGAUGAUUUAUUAACUGUGGGCAUACCUAAAAGUAUACUAGCAUACAUGGAAAGAGAGGACACUUAUUCUUAUUUGCAUUUGAUAAACUCCACUGCCUCAACCUAACAAUCAUUCAAAACCAUCCGAACGAACACACAAAAAUAAACAUCAUGACAAAUAAACACUAAACCAUUCCAAGAAACAUGAACUACGUAAAGAUGAAAACAACUUAAAUCUCCAAAGGGUUUAAAUUUGUUAUUUAAAUUUAAAUCUGCAUUCAUGUCUUUUAAAAAUCACCUCAGUAACACUUGAAUUCAACAAAGAAAAAUAUAAAAGAUAAUCCUAUAAAUUUAUUAUGCUAAAGAAACCAUGAUUAAAAUAAUGAAAUUUUUUUAAAACAUAUUUCCUCUGAAACAAGGUGAUGGAAAACAAGCAAAGCAGUAUUCUAUUCUUAAUAGAAGACUCAAACGAGGUGAUGCAAAACAAGCAAUCAUUAUCGAUAUCAGGUAGGAUUAAUGAAGAAAAAUGAACCUAAAAUUAGAAAAUGGGCCAACUGAUUCAGAUGUUAACUUCAAACUCAAGCGAAACAACAGCAGCAAAGUCGAGCAAUAAAUCGCAAGCAAAAUCGAAACCUCGAACUGGAAACCUUGUCGAAUUCGGAACAGACUACCUUCAACGGCGACCUCCACACGAUUCAAACUCGAAUUCGGCUCCAACAUUAAUUAAACUCCAUGUUGCAGAAAACUAAGAACCAAAUCGAGAAUGGGGAAGACGAAGUAAACUUUGUAUUGUUUUCGAUUGCUCUGUUUGUGUCUAUCUAUUAUAGCUGUAUACCCAUUCCCUCGCUCUGUUUGUGUGUGUGUGAUGCUGUUGAGGGAGUGUCGAAGAAGAAGGGUGUAUGGCUGUUGUCUGUUUUUCGGCGAGCUCGAAGGUGGAAGAACAGCGAUCUGUUGGUGCGUCUGUCCGGCGUUAGGCUGCUCGAAGCUGUUGUUGGAAAGAAGAAGAAGAUGGAAUUCAGAUGAGGGGUUGUCAUUUGGUUGAAGAAGAAGCAGAACGGUGGGGGAGAGAUCUAUGUCUUCUGCGGCUUAUCAGAUCUCUUAGGCAUUAGGUUAGCUCCUCAUUUUUUGUCAAAAAUGACUGUCAGCUCCUAGAGUUUUCCAAGUUUUUGGGAAGAAGAAAGAGCUCCAAGGUUUUUUGUGUAGGUCUCUUUUAA
rnacentral:lncRNA from 1 species